rnacentral:rRNA from 1 species
AUUGAACGCUAGCGGGAUGCUUUACACAUGCAAGUCGAACGGAGUGGCGAACGGGUGAGUAAUGUAUCGGAACGUGCCCAGUAGCGGGGGAUAAAUACGCGAAAGCGUAGCUAAUACCGCAUACUAUUGGAGCGGCCGAAAUCGGAUUAGCCAGUUGGUGGGGGAACGGAUCAACAAGGCGACGAUCCGUAGCUGGUUUGAGAGGACGACCAUCCACACUGGGACUUGGACACGGCCCGGACUCCUACGGGAGGCAGCAGUGGGGAAUUUUGGACAAUGGGGGAAACCCUGAGCCAGCCAUCCCGCGUGUGCGAUGAAGGCCUUCGUGUGGUAAAUCACUUUUGGCAGGAACGCGGUACCUGCAGAAUAAGCACCGGCUAACUACGUGCCAGCCGCCGCGGUAAUAC